rnacentral:rRNA from 1 species
GACGAACGCUGGCGGCGUGCUUAACACAUGCAAGUCGAACGGUAAGGCCCUUCGGGGUACACGAGUGGCGAACGGGUGAGUAACACGUGGGUGAUCUGCCCUGCACUUCGGGAUAAGCCUGGGAAACUGGGUCUAAUACCGGAUAGGACCACUGCCUGCAUGGGUGGUGGUGGAAAGCUUUUGCGGUGUGGGAUGGGCCCGCGGCCUAUCAGCUUGUUGGUGAGGUAACGGCUCACCAAGGCGACGACGGGUAGCCGGCCUGAGAGGGCGACCGGCCACACUGGGACUGAGACACGGCCCAGACUCCUACGGGAGGCAGCAGUGGGGAAUAUUGCACAAUGGGCGCAAGCCUGAUGCAGCGACGCCGCGUGAGGGAUGAAGGUCUUCGGAUUGUAAACCUCUUUCAGUAGGGACGAAGCGAAAGUGACGGUACCUAAAGAAGAAGCACCGGCUAACUACGUGCCAGCCGCCGCAGUAG